rnacentral:rRNA from 1 species
AUUGAACGCUGGCGGCAGGCUUAACACAUGCAAGUCGAGCGAGUGGCGGACGGGUGAGUAAUGUCUGGGAAACUGCCUGAUGGAGGGGGAUAACUACUGGAAACGGUAGCUAAUACCGCAUACUAUCAGAUGUGCCCAGAUGGGAUUAGCUAGUGGGUGGGGUAAAGCCUCACCUAGGCGACGCUCCCUAGCUGGUCUGAGAGGAUGACCGCCCACACUGGAACGGGGACACGGUCCGAACUCCUACGGGAGGAGGCAGUGGGGAAUAUUGGACAAUGGGCGAAAGCCGAAUACGGCCAUGCCGCGGGUGUGAAGAAGGCCUUCGGGUUGUAAGGCACUUUCAGCGAGGAGACGUUACUCGCAGAGGAAGCACCGGCUAACUCCGUGCCAGCCGCCGCGGUAAUUC